UUUUGGCUUCUCAUCCUUGUAAAUUCAUAACCUGUAUCAUUCUAAAGCUCUCUAGCAUUUCCCAAUCAAAAGUCACCUUCGCCACCAAACCCCUUCCCUUUAUCCUCCUUUCUCUGCUCAAUACCAGAUCCAAUCUAUCCUCUCCCCCUUUUCCCAUCUCCAAUUUCGACUCUUUAUCGCCCUAAUUUCCGGAUACACCACCUCUCAGAAACCCUAAUUGUGUACUAAACCCACAAUUCGAUAAUACCCAGUUUAAUUCUCCUUUCAAGAAAUCUCAGAUUAUCAAAAUCUAUAUUACCCAUUUGCCUUUUGUUGAUGGGCACAAUCAGAGCUAGCACUGGAGACCUUACCGCUUCUACCUCUCGCACUGAGACAAUAAAUGGAUC
rnacentral:misc_RNA from 1 species